CCCGCGAGGUAGAGCCUGCUGCCCACCAAGGUGGCCGCCUCUGGGUCACAGCUGGGCUGGCCCUGGGGCCCAGGCCCUGGUCAGCUGGAGAUGCUGCUGUGGGCAGAGUGGCACCUCUGAGCUGUCCAGCAUAUCCUCAAGGGUCAUGGCAGUGACCUCAGGCACCCGCAGGCCACCCAGGCUCAGGACCGACACCAAGUGCUGCUCCCUAACAGGAUGUGUAUUAGAACGAGCAGACAGGCUCGGGACGCGGGGAUGGCAGACAGAGACAGGCAGAGCACCAGCACCGUUUCCUCAACGACAGCUGGCACUUGUCCUCCUCCAGAGUCUUGGCACUGAUCCUGCGUCCCCAGGGCUCUGUGCUGGGCUUGCAUCUGGGAAGGGGCCUCAGGGAUGCGGAGAGCUGGGGGGCAGGGGCCGGUGGGGUGGGGGCCGCUGCAGGUGGAAGCCUCCUUUACCUCCUUUCUAGAAGGUGCUGCAGGUGGGCAGGCAGUGGGCAGUGAGGGUGUGGCCAGCCCAGCCCCCUUUGCUCCCACCGACCCUGUCCGUGGUCACUGCCGUCAGAGACAAACUUGGGCCAGUUUUGUUCUGGGCAGGUGUCCCAGGCUUCUCUCCUGUUUGAUGUCAGAGCGGUGAAACCUGACCAUGCCGUUAUCACCCUGGUGUUGUAAUCAGCACUGGAACAAACUUCCCUGAGUUUUGCCGGCUGCCAUCAGCUCCUGGCUCCACUGAGCUAUGUGCACAGCACGCCUCGCUUUGCCCUCGGCUCCUUAACCUCCUCUUCCUUGGGCUGGUGGGGGACAGGGCCCCACACCUGCACACAUUCAUUCUCUUUUUGUUACCUGAUCUGGGAACAAGAGCAAGGCUGAAGGACACAGAGGAGGGGUGCACUGACAAGUCCCCCUGGCAUGGGGAGGGAACAGAGAGGCCCGGAUCGGCCGGGAAGAAGCCCGACCCUGUGCUACUGGCCUCUGGGAGGCUCUGCUUCCGGCCAGCCGGGAGGCGAUAAGCCAGGGGCAGGUGAAUCGCUGCCAGGAAACCGAGGCACCUUGGAGCCAGAAGCACCUAGACUACCAGCUCUCUUCUCCUGGUACCCGACAACCAGGCCAGCCGCCGAGCCAGCCUCUGCACACACAGCCAAGGAGCCGUGCAGGAGCCCCGCGCCCCCACAGCGCCCCCACAGACCCUUCCCGAGCACCGAGUCGCAAGAAUCCAGGCCCAGCCACCUACCUGAAGGAGCCAGUAGCACCUCCGGUGAAAGUUCUCCCUCCCUUCUCCAGCUUGCUCCCUCCAGGACCCAGCCCUACGGAGAGGCCUGAGCUGAGCCUGGUUCGUGCCAGGCGCCCUGGAGGAGCAGAGGGAGCCCAGACAAUUCUGCUGGCCACAAGCUUGGCCCUGAUGAUGCCGCUGUGGACAUUCGACAAGAAGCUGACUCAGAGGGCCCAAAGGCCUGGUGCACCCCUCACCUUGGCCUGGCCUCAACUGGGGCCUCCCAGGACAGCCACUGUCCCUCUGCGUCUGUUCCUCAGGUCUCCUCCAGGAGGCUGUCCUGCUCCAGCCCUCUGGUCAGAGUCCCCAGAAACAGCCCACCAGGAAAGGAAUGGAUGCUGGCGGUGGUACACACCUAGGGGUGGGUUUGGCUGGGGAACUAUACACAUCUGACUGCUCCAAUCUGCCUUUAAAUGACAGCAAGUGACUGUGGCUGUGUGCCAAUGAGAUUUGAAUUUUACACAAUCCUCACAUGUCACAAAUAGUAUUCUUUCUGUGAAUUUUUGAACACUUGAAAAAUAUUUUUUAAAAAAGUUCUUAGCUCUUGGGCUGUUCAAGAGUAUGGGUUGGGUCCCAGCUUGCUGACCCCUGGUCUAGCAGAUUGGGAUACAGAACUUUCUAAAGUUCUCCACUGUCAUGUUCACAUAGUAGAUGCUUAGUAAACAGAUUCCCACAUGCUGUGAAUAUCUCAGCAGGGCCAGGAAGGAGUG
rnacentral:lncRNA from 1 species